CCUACGGGCGGCAGCAGUGAGGAAUAUUGGUCAAUGGCCGGAAGUCUGAACCAGCCAAGCCGCGUGAAGGACGAAGGUGCCAAGCAUUGUAAACUUCUUUUGUGAGGGGACAAAAUCAGGCUCGAGAGCCUGACCGAGGGUACUUGAAGAAAAAGCAUCGGCUAACUCCGUGCCAGCAGCCGCGGUAAUACGGAGGAUGCGAGCGUUAUCCGGAUUUAUUGGGUUUAAAGGGUGCGUAGGCGGGCUGUUAAGUCAGCGGGAAAAGCCCGGGGCUCAACCCCGGCGAGCCGCUGAAACUGGGUGUCUUGAGAUGUCGAGAGGUAUGCGGAAUGCGUGGUGUAGCGGUGAAAUGCUUAGAUAUUGCGCAGAACUCCGAUUGCGAAGGCAGCAUACCGGCGGCGUUCUGACGCUGAGGCACGAAAGCGUGGGUAUCGAACAGGAUUAGAUACCCUGGUAGUC
rnacentral:rRNA from 1 species